UACGAAGGGGGCUAGCGUUGUUCGGAAUUACUGGGCGUAAAGCGCGCGUAGGCGGUUUUGCAAGUCAGGGGUGAAAUCCCUGAGCUCAACUCAGGAAUGGCCUUUGGGACUGCGAGGCUUUGAGGACUGGAGAGGUGAGUGGAAUUCCCAGUGUAGAGGUGAAAUUCGUAGAUAUUGGGAAGAACACCGGUGGCGAAGGCGGCUCACUGGCCAGUUUCUGACGCUGUAGCGCGAAAGCGUGGGGAGCAAACAGG
rnacentral:rRNA from 1 species